rnacentral:rRNA from 1 species
UAGGUUAACGAGGCGAACCGGGGGAACUGAAACAUCUAAGUACCCCGAGGAAAAGAAAUCAACCGAGAUUCCCCCAGUAGCGGCGAGCGAACGGGGAGCAGCCCAGAGUCUGAAUCAGCUUGUGUGUUAGUGGAACGGUCUGGAAAGUCCGACGGUACAGGGUGAUAGUCCCGUACACCAAAAUGCACAGGCUGUGAACUCGAAGAGUAGGGCGGGACACGUGGUAUCCUGUCUGAAUAUGGGGGGACCAUCCUCCAAGGCUAAAUACUCCUGACUGACCGAUAGUGAACCAGUACCGUGAGGGAAAGGCGAAAAGAACCCCGGCGAGGGGAGUGAAAAAGAACCUGAAACCGUGUACGUACAAGCAGUGGGAGCACCUUCGGGUGUGACUGCGUACCUUUUGUAUAAUGGGUCAGCGACUUAUAUUCUGUAGCAAGGUUAACCGUAUAGGGGAGCCGCAGGGAAACCGAGUCUUAACUGGGCGUUAAGUUGCAGGGUAUAGACCCGAAACCCGGUGAUCUAGCCAUGGGCAGGUUGAAGGUUGGGUAACACUAACUGGAGGACCGAACCGACUAAUGUUGAAAAAUUAGCGGAUGACUUGUGGCUGGGGGUGAAAGGCCAAUCAAACCGGGAGAUAGCUGGUUCUCCCCGAAAGCUAUUUAGGUAGCGCCUCGUGAAUUCAUCUUCGGGGGUAGAGCACUGUUUCGGCUAGGGGGUCAUCCCGACUUACCAACCCGAUGCAAACUACGAAUACCGAAGAAUGUUAUCACGGGAGACACACGGCGGGUGCUAACGUCCGUCGUGAAGAGGGAAACAACCCAGACCGCCAGCUAAGGUCCCAAAGUCAUGGUUAAGUGGGAAACGAUGUGGGAAGGCACAGACAGCCAGGAUGUUGGCUUAGAAGCAGCCAUCAUUUAAAGAAAGCGUAAUAGCUCACUGGUCGAGUCGGCCUGCGCGGAAGAUGUAACGGGGCUAAACCAUGCACCGAAGCUGCGGCAGCGACACUAUGUGUUGUUGGGUAGGGGAGCGUUCUGUAAGCCUGCGAAGGUGACCUGUGAGGGUUGCUGGAGGUAUCAGAAGUGCGAAUGCUGACAUAAGUAACGAUAAAGCGGGUGAAAAGCCCGCUCGCCGGAAGACCAAGGGUUCCUGUCCAACGUUAAUCGGGGCAGGGUGAGUCGACCCCUAAGGCGAGGCCGAAAGGCGUAGUCGAUGGGAAACAGGUUAAUAUUCCUGUACUUGGUGUUACUGCGAAGGGGGGACGGAGAAGGCUAUGUUAGCCGGGCGACGGUUGUCCCGGUUUAAGCAUGUAGGCUGGUUGUCCAGGCAAAUCCGGAUAAUCAAGGCUGAGGUGUGAUGACGAGGCACUACGGUGCUGAAGUAACAAAUGCCCUGCUUCCAGGAAAAGCCUCUAAGCAUCAGGUAACAU